UACGGAAGGCAGCAGUGGGGAAUAUUGCACAAUGGGCGCAAGCCUGAUGCAGCCAUGCCGCGUGUAUGAAAAAGGCCUUCGGGUUGUAAAGUACUUUCAGUCGUGAGGAAGGUGUUAAGGUUAAUAACCUUAGCAAUUGACGUUAGCGACAGAAGAAGCACCGGCUAACUCCGUGCCAGCAGCCGCGGUAAUACGGAGGGUGCGAGCGUUAAUCGGAAUUACUGGGCGUAAAGGGCACGCAGGCGGUUUAAUUAAGUUGGAUGUGAAAUCCCCGGGCUUAACCUGGGAAUGGCAUUCAAGACUGGUUAGCUAGAGUCUUGUAGAGGGGGUAGAAUUCCAUGUGUAGCGGUGAAAUGCGUAGAGAUGUGGAGGAAUACCGGUGGCGAAGGCGGCCCCUGGACAAAGACUGACGCUCAUGUGCGAAAGCGUGGGGAGCAAACAGGGAUUAGAUACC
rnacentral:rRNA from 1 species